ACACACCGUUGCAUAUAUACAACGCCACAAAAUACUCCAAGAAAUCA
rnacentral:sRNA from 1 species